rnacentral:rRNA from 1 species
AUUGAACGCUGGCGGCAGGCCUAACACAUGCAAGACGAGCGGAGCGGCGGACGGGUGAGUAAUGCCUAGGAAUCUGCCUGGUAGUGGGGGAUAACGUCCGGAAACGGGCGCUAAUACCGCAUACUAUCAGAUGAGCCUAGGUCGGAUUAGCUAGUUGGUGGGGUAAAGGCCUACCAAGGCGACGAUCCGUAACUGGUCUGAGAGGAUGAUCAGUCACACUGGAACUGGGACACGGUGCAAGCUCCUACGGGAGGCGUCAGUGGGGAAUAUUGGACAAUGGUCGAAGGCCUGAACCGUCCAUUCCGCUUGUGGUAAGAAGGUCUUCGGAUUGUAAGGCACUUUAAGUUGGAAGACGUUACCAACAGAGUAAGCACCGGCUAACUUCGUGCCAGCAGCCGCGGUAAUAC